GAAAAAUCUCAGCACAUCUCUGGGCAAUGAAAUCAUUCUUUUGGGACCUGACACAUGAACUGAAGUGUAAUUGGCAUUCUUCGUGGAAGGGGCAUGGAUUUAAAUUGUCGUUCAGGUAUCAUGGCCUUACAUGAUAUUCAUCUGAAGCAGGAUGAGACAGAGCAGGCAGAAAAGGAAACAUUUCUGACAAUGUUCUGUUAUGAAGAAUCCACCUUUCCUAGAAGCCCCAGCAAACCUCCCAUCGGACUCAUAGGUGCAAACUGGCUGAAAGGCUCAUUCCAAGACCAAGCACAGGUACAAGGGCCAAAACUGGCUAGAACAGGCAUGACUCACCUUUUCAGCUUCUCAGUCAUCUCCUCUCAAGGGCACAGGUCUGUUUGGUUGGUUUGUGAAUAAAACUGGGGGACUGUUAUUAUGGAAGAAGCAGUGAUAAGACCCUUUCCAUAAAGAGGAGAGACGUGAACUGGCAU
rnacentral:lncRNA from 1 species